CUCUUGACUCCUACGGGAGGCAGCAGUGGGGAAUAUUGCACAAUGGGCGCAAGCCUGAUGCAGCAACGCCGUGUGAGUGAAGAAGGUUUUCGGAUCGUAAAACUCUGUCCUAAGGGAAGAAACAAAUGACGGUACCUUAGGAGGAAGCCCCGGCUAACUACGUGCCAGCAGCCGCGGUAAUACGUAGGGGGCAAGCGUUAUCCGGAAUCACUGGGCGUAAAGGGUGCGUAGGCGGCUUAGCAAGCCAGGGGUGAAAGGCAUUGGCUCAACCAUAGUAAGCUUUUGAAACUGUUAAACUUGAGUGCAGGAGAGGAAAGUGGAAUUCCUAGUGUAGAGGUGAAAUUCGUAGAUAUUAGGAGGAACACCAGUGGCGAAGGCGACUUACUGGACUGUAACUGACGCUGAUGCACGAAAGCGUGGGUAGCGAACAGGAUUAGAUACCCUGGUAA
rnacentral:rRNA from 1 species